UCUUCUCCUUCCCGGUGCUCCCCGUUCCUCUCGAUCUCUCUCAUCCAUCCUCUCUCUUCUCUGUACAGGUGCUCCCCGCGCCAUGGAAGCCACUGCAAGCCUCCACGUCGAGCUCCGCCGCCCCUGGAUCUCCUCUUCCUGUUGAGCUACUCGAGCCCUGCCCAGAGCAGCCAAGCCGCCGUUCCCGCCGCGGCCCUGCUCCCUUCGUCGCUGUCUCCGUCAGAUCCCACGAGUCCCUGCGCCCCGGCCUCGUCCCUGCCUCCAGGUUGCCGCUCCGCCGCCGGAGACCAAGCUGCCGCCGCGCCUAGCCCCUGCCUCGACCUGCUCUGCCUGUCCUCUGCGUCGCUGCAAGUCCCUGCUGUUGCCCCUGCAUCCCCUGCUUCACGACGCUCGCUCCCCCGUGCCUCACGUUGACUGCGCCCUGCCUCCUCUCGCCUGGGCCAGCGCGCUGACUCAAGCCGGCCCAGCCUCCUCCGCGGCCUGCCCUCAGCCGCCAAAAACUACUGGGCCUAGGCCCAUGUUCCGGCAAUGUUGCGAUUGUGAGGAUUCUUUCGACUAUGUUGGUUCGUCUACUUCAU